rnacentral:rRNA from 1 species
UACGGAGGGUGCAAGCGUUGCUCGGAAUUAUUGGGCGUAAAGGGUAGGUAGGUGGUCUCAUUUGUCUGAGGUGAAAGCCUUGGGCUUAACCUAAGAAGUGCCUCAGAAACGGUGAGACUAGAGUCCUGGAGAGGGUCGUGGAAUUCCCGGUGUAGCGGUGAAAUGCGUAGAGAUCGGGAGGAACACCAGUGGCGAAGGCGGCGACCUGGACAGGAACUGACACUCAACUACGAAAGCGUGGGGAGCAAAC